rnacentral:rRNA from 1 species
GCACUUUGGGAAGAGAGUUAAACAGUACGUGAAAUUGUUGAAAGGGAAACGAUUGAAGUCAGUCGUGUUCUUUGGAUUCAGCUAGUUCUUCUAGUCUACUUCCGUUGAACGGGUCAACAUCAGUUUUGUCCGGUGGAUAAAGAUAGUAGGAAUGUAGCUCCCCCGGGAGUGUUAUAGACUAUUAUGCAUACACUGGGUGGAGGAACUGGAGAACUGGCCAGUCGGCCGGGCCC